UUUGCUUUGGCAGCAUAUUACACUAAAAUGGGAGUGACACAGAGAAGACUAACACAACUGCUGCACAGGAUGAUAUGCAAAUUCAUGGAGCGGUCCACAUUUAA